GAUGAACGCUGGCGGCGUGCCUAAUACAUGCAAGUCGAGCGAACAGACGAGGCGCUUGCUCCUCUGACGUUAGCGGAGGACGGGUGAGUAACACGUGGAUCCCCUACCUAUAAGACUGGGAUAACUUCGGGACACCGGAGCUAAUACCGGAUAAUAUCUUGAACCGCAUGGUUCAAUAGUGAAAGACGGUUUUGCUGUCACUUAUAGAUGGCUCCGAGCCGCAUUAGCUAGUUGGUAAGGUAACGGCUUACCACGGCAACGCUGCGUAGCCGACCUGAGGGGGGGGUCGGCCACACUGGAACUGAGACACGGACCAGACUCCUACGGGAGGCAGCAGUAGGGAAUCUUCCGCAAUGGUCGAAAGCAUGACGGAGCAACGGCGCGUGAGUGAUGAAGGUCUUCGGAGCGUAAAACUCUGUUAUUAGGGAAGAACAAAUGUGUAAGUAACUAUGCACGGCUUGACGGUACCUAAUAAGAAAGCCACGGCUAACUACGUG
rnacentral:rRNA from 1 species